rnacentral:rRNA from 1 species
AUUGAACGCUGGCGGCAGGCUUAACACAUGCAAGUCGAGCGGUAGCACAGGGGAGCUUGCUCCCUGGGUGACGAGCGGCGGACGGGUGAGUAAUGUCUGGGAAACUGCCUGAUGGAGGGGGAUAACUACUGGAAACGGUAGCUAGUACCGCAUAACGUCGCAAGACCAAAGAGGGGGACCUUCGGGCCUCUUGCCAUCAGAUGUGCCCAGAUGGGAUUAGCUAGUAGGUGGGGUAAUGGCUCACCUAGGCGACGAUCCCUAGCUGGUCUGAGAGGAUGACCAGCCACACUGGAACUGAGACACGGUCCAGACUCCUACGGGAGGCAGCAGUGGGGAAUAUUGCACAAUGGGCGCAAGCCUGAUGCAGCCAUGCCGCGUGUGUGAAGAAGGCCUUCGGGUUGUAAAGCACUUUCAGCGAGGAGGAAGGUGGUGAGCUUAAUACGUUCAUCAAUUGACGUUACUCGCAGAAGAAGCACCGGCUAACUCCGUG